AAAACUUGCCUGGCACUAAUGACAGAGCAGACAGAGAUAGGAAGGGCAGUAGCUGGUCAGCUCUCCAAAAGCAGUAAGAGGGAUGGCAGAGCAGAGGAGCUUCUCCUACUGGGACCUUGAGAAAGGCUUUGGGCCCUCAUUCAAGCAGUUUAAAGUUCCAAGGUCCCAAAAGUUGGAUGUCAGAUAGCCUCUGCUGCUUGGGGUGGCUGGAAUAGGAGGACAUGGGGCAGAGGGAAGGCAAAGCAAGUUGGUCCCACCCCCACCCUCUCCUUCCUACCCUAGAGACCUACACCCUGGGUGAAGGAGGUGCCUAAUCCCUGGUCAUAUUUCAAGCAAAUGUGGCCUGUUCCCCAGACUUCCUUUCCUAAGAACAACCAGGCCUACUUCUCUUUUCCCCAAGGGAGUCUGAAGGUCUCCCAUCCACUAGAUUAAGGCCAAGUGACCUCCCCUCAUCAGCCAACUGGUUCACACAGCCCCACGGCACACCUGGUGUGGUCAGCAGCUGCCCUGUCCUCGGCUCUGGAGUCUCAAGACUGCCAUGGCAGCAAAGCAGCCGGUCCUCCGGCCCAGGCCCAGCACUGCCUGUGUCCCUUGUUUCAGCCUCUGCCGCUCUCCUUGUCCUAACGCAGCUGGUAGGCCCCGGGCUGGAGCUCCGGCUGGCUUCGGGUUUCAGUGGGGCCAGGCCUGCUGGGGCAGCCCUGGGAAGGGCACACUCCUCCUGCCUUGCAUUCUGUUCAAGGUCGCCCAGAAGGACGGCUGCAGACCAGGAGGCCCUGGUGGCUCCACGACCCCUGGGGGAGUUCUUAUCAGUGCUCAGGCCCACCUCCAUAUGCGCCCCCAAAAGGGGGUUAGUGCUGCGGAAGCCAUCAGGGGAGCUGGAGAACCCAGCAUUUGGAGUACUUGGACCCCUCAGGAUCAAGGGUCCUUGAGGCUGGCUAGCAGAAGCAGGGCCCAGCAAAGGAGUCCUCUCCUCAGCUCCAACCCCAGUGCAGGUAAGUAG
rnacentral:lncRNA from 1 species